AGAGUUUGAUUAUGGCUCAGAACGAACGCUGGCGGCGCGUUUUAAGCAUGCAAGUCGAACGGUAAUAGAGUGCUUGCACUCUAUGAGAGUGGCGAACGGGUGAGUAACACGUAGAUGAUCUAUCUUUGGAUCUGGGAUAGCCUGUGGAAACACAGGGUAAUACCGGAUACGACCUUAGUGCUACGGCGCUAGGGGGAAAGUCGCUUAGGCGACGUCCGAGGCUGAGUCUGCGGCUCAUUAGCUUGUUGGUAGGGUAAUGGCCUACCAAGGCGACGAUGAGUAGCCGGCCUGAGAGGGUGAUCGGCCACACUGGGACUGAGACACGGCCCAGACUCCUACGGGAGGCAGCAGCUAAGAAUCUUCCGCAAUGGGGGAAACCCUGACGGAGCGACGCCGCGUGAACGAUGAAGGCCGGAAGGUUGUAAAGUUCUUUUCCUGGGGGAGAAUAACACCUGGAGGUAAUGCCAGGUGGAUGACGUGAACCAGGGAAUAAGCCCCGGCUAAUUACGUGCCAGCAGCCGCGGUAACACGUAAGGGGCAAGCGUUGUUCGGAUUUAUUGGGCGUAAAGGGCGUGUAGGCGGUGAGAUAAGUUUGGUGUGAAAGACCCCGGCUCAACCGGGGGAACGCGCUGAAAACUGUCUUACUAGAGUGAUGGAGGGGAAACUGGAAUUCCUGGUGUAGGGGUGAAAUCUGUAGAGAUCAGGAAGAACACCGGAGGCGAAGGCGAGUUUCUGGCCAUCUACUGACGCUGAGGCGCGAAAGCGUGGGGAGCGAACAGGAUUAGAUACCCUGGUAGUCCACGCUGUAAACGAUGUGCACUA
rnacentral:rRNA from 1 species